rnacentral:rRNA from 1 species
UACAGAGGUCCCAAGCGUUGUUCGGAUUCACUGGGCGUAAAGGGUGCGUAGGUGGUCGGAUAAGUUUGAUGUGAAAUCUCGGAGCUUAACUCCGAAACUGCAUUGAAUACUAUCUGGCUUGAGGGUCGGAGGGGGGACUGGAAUUCUCGGUGUAGCAGUGAAAUGCGUAGAUAUCGAGAGGAACACCAGUGGCGAAGGCGAGUCCCUGGACGACUCCUGACACUGAGGCACGAAAGCUAGGGGAGCAAACAGG